rnacentral:rRNA from 1 species
UGAGGAAUAUUGCACAAUGGGCGCAAGCCUGAUGCAGCAACGCCGCGUGCGGGACGAAGGCCUUCGGGUCGUAAACCGCUUUUCUGGGGGAAGAGCAAGGACGGUACCUCAGGAAUAAGUCUCGGCUAACUACGUGCCAGCAGCCGCGGUAAAACGUAGGAGGCGAGCGUUAUCCGGAUUUACUGGGCGUAAAGCGCACGCAGGCGGCUCUGUUAGUCGGACGUGAAAGCUCUCGGCUUAACCGGGAGAGGCCGUUCGAUACUGCGGGGCUUGGGGUAGGGAGAGGAAUGCGGAAUUCCCGGUGUAGUGGUGGAAUGCGUAGAUAUCGGGAGGAACACCUGUGGCGAAAGCGGCAUUCUGGCCCUCACCUGACGCUGAGGUGCGAAAGCGUGGGUAGCAAAC